rnacentral:rRNA from 1 species
CACGUAGGGGGCAAGCGUUGUCCGGAUUUAUUGGGCGUAAAGAGCUCGUAGGUGGCUCGGUAAGUCAGGUGUGAAAUCUCGGGGCUCAACCCCGAAACUGCACUUGAUACUGCCUCGCUUGAGUACUGGAGAGGAGACUGGAAUUUACGGUGUAGCAGUGAAAUGCGUAGAUAUCGUAAGGAAGACCAGUGGCGAAGGCGAGUCUCUGGACAGUUACUGACGCUGAGGCACGAAGGCCAGGGGAGCAAACGGGG